GUCUGACUGCUGAUGAGGGAUACUAUGAACGGUACUAUACGCAUACGUCGCAAACAAGAGACUCGGCCUCUGCCAUCGGAUGUGCCAGAUGGGAUUACUAUAGUGGGUACGCUCACUAGCGAGAUCCUACUGUCUGAAAGAUGACAGCCACACUGGACUGAAAACGUCAAACUCUACGGGAGCACAGUGGGAAUAUUGCCAUGGGCGCAGCUGAUGCACCAUGCGCGUGUUAAAGCCUCGGUUGUAAGUACUUCACGGAGAGAUAAGUAUACUUGCUCAUGAUCCGAAAAACACGUAACUCCGUGCCAGCAGCCGCGGUAAUACGGAGGGUGCAAGCGUUAAUCGGAAUUACUGGGCGUAAGCGCACGCAGGUGGUUGUUAAGUCAGAUGUGAAAUCCCCGGGCUCAACCUGGGAACUGCAUCUGAUACUGGCAAGCUUGAGUCUCGUAAGGGGGGUAAAUUCCAGGUGUACGGUGAAAUGCGUAAGAUCUGGAGGAAUACCGGUGGCGAAGCGGCCCCUGGACAAACUGACGCUCAGUGCAAAGCGUGGGGACAAACAGGAUUAAUACCCUGGUAUCCACGCCGUAAAAUGUCACUUGA
rnacentral:rRNA from 1 species